GUGUGGCUCAGUGGUAAAGCACCUGCCUAGCAAGCACAAGGGUCCUGAGUUCAAAUCUCAGUAC
rnacentral:tRNA from 1 species